AAAAAGAUAGACUAAAGUUUAAGUCGUUAGACUCAUAAUCUUAAAAUAUAUUUAAUAUUCUUUUUA
rnacentral:tRNA from 1 species